rnacentral:rRNA from 1 species
UACAGGGGGGCAAGCGUUGUUCGGAAUUACUGGGCGUAAAGGGUCUGUAGGUGGCCAACUAAGUCAGACGUGAAAUCCCUCAGCUUAACCGGGGAACUGCGUCUGAUACUGGAUGGCUUGAGUUUGGGAGAGGGAUGCGGAAUUCCAGGUGUAGCGGUGAAAUGCGUAGAUAUCAGGAGGAACACCUGUGGUGUAGACAGCUUACUGGACCACUUCUGACGCUGAGACACGAAAGCGUGGGUAGCAAACAGG